rnacentral:rRNA from 1 species
GCACCUGCGGUAAUUCCAGCUCCAAUAGCGUAUAUUAAAGUUGUUGCAGUUAAAAAGCUCGUAGUUGAACUUCUGUACAGUCUCACUUCUGGCUUCGGUCAAGGUGUUGGCUGUGCAUCCGCUUGCAAAGCUGGUUCGGCCUUAACUGGUCGGCUAGUAGAGUAAGCCCUUUACUUUGAAAAAAUUAGAGUGUUUCAGGCAGGCAAUGGCUCGAAUACAUUAGCAUGGAAUAAUGGAAUAGGACUUUUGUCCAUUUGGUUGGUUCUUGGACUUAAGUAAUGAUUAAAAGGGACAGUUGGGGGCAUUGGUAUUUAACAGUCAGAGGUGAAAUUCUUGGAUUUGUUAAAGACUAACUUAUGCGAAAGCAUUUGCCAAGGAUGUCUUCAUUAAUCAAGAACGAAAGU